rnacentral:rRNA from 1 species
UACGAAGGGGGCUAGCGUUGCUCGGAAUCACUGGGCGUAAAGCGCACGUAGGCGGCUUUCUAAGUCAGGGGUGAAAUCCUGGAGCUCAACUCCAGAACUGCCUUUGAUACUGGAGAGCUUGAGUCCGGGAGAGGUGAGUGGAACUCCGAGUGUAGAGGUGAAAUUCGUAGAUAUUCGGAAGAACACCAGUGGCGAAGGCGACUGACUGGACAAGUAUUGACGCUGAGGUGCGAAAGCGUGGGGAGCAAACAGG